rnacentral:rRNA from 1 species
AAGUUCGUAAAGUAAAAAGUUUAUAAAGUUUUUAAAGGCGGAUUGAAUUCCACUUUAUAACUUUAUGAACCUUAUAACUUUUAACUUUUGUAACUUGCGUGCGCGUUGCGCACGCGGUAGGAGAGCAUUCCCGUUGCGUCGAAGCUGUACUCGCGAGAGGCGGUGGAGCGGCGGGAAGAGAGAAUGUUGGAAUGAGUAACCACAAUCCUAAUGAGAAAUUGGGACCCCGAAAAUCCAAGGUUUCCGUGGCACUGGCAAUCAACCACGGGUUAGUCGGCCCUAAGUCAAUGGUGAAAACCGCAGACGAUGGACAGACGGUUAAUAUUCCGUCACUUCCGUGUUUUUCGAUGGAGGGACGAGGUUCAGUAGAUGGAGCGCCUUAUUGGUUUGGCGUCCUUGCGCGAGGUUGUGCUUUUGGUAAAUCCGGAGCGCUGCGUUCAAUCGCGAAUCCCAGCAAAAAGGCAAUUGUCGGUUUUACCGGCGAACGUUCAUCGAGCGAGUCUUCAAGAAAAACUUCUAAGGUUAAAGACACGGAAUCCGUACCGUAAACCGACACAGGUGGAUAGGGCGAGAAGCCCAAGGGGAACGAGUGAUUCGCCGUCAAGGAACUAGGCAAAAAAGCGGCCGUAAGUUAGCGAUAAGGCCUCGAAAGUCUUCCUGGCGACUGUUUACCAAAAACACAGCUCCCUGCUAACUCGCAAGAGGAUGUAUAGGGGGUGACACCUGACCGAUGCGAGAAGGUCAAUCUUGCCGUGGAGGCGCCAAUGAAACACCCAUUUUUAAGAUUUUAAAUUCUAACCCCGACGGCAAAAACGUCGAGGGACAGUGCUUGGCAGGCAGUUUCAAUGGGGCGUUGUCCUCCUAAAGAGUAACGGAGGAGUCUAUUAAGGUCGGCUUAGUCCGGAUGGAAACCGGACUGGACGCGUAAAGGCAAAAGCCGGCUUAACUGCAAGACAUACAAGUCGCGCAGAUGCGAAAGCAGAGCUUAGUGACCCGAUUAAUAGAAAGGUGGGAGACAUCGGAUAAAAGCUACUCCGGGGAACAGGCUAGUUUCGUCCGAGCGUCCAUAGCGACGACGAAGCUCGGCACCUCGAUGUGGUCGGCUCGCCCUAGCGCGGGGGUGUAGAAGCUCCCAAGCGUUUGGCUGUUCGCCAAUUAAAAGGGCACGUGAGCUGGGUUCAGACCGUCCCGUGAGACAGGUCGGUCUCUAUCUGCUGCAGGCGUUGAUACUUGAGGGGAGUUGGGAUUAGUACGAGAGGACUUUCCUGAACGGACCUCUGGUGUACCGGCUUUGGUACCAACUGAAGCGCCGGGUAGCUAUGUUCGGAAGGGAUAAGCGCUGAAAGCAUCUAAGCGCGAAGCCUUGCGUUUAUCAGCGUGUGACUCGCGAGAGCGAGGCACGGCGAGGUUUCGUAGGAGAUUACUACGUUGAUAGGCCACAGGUGUAAGGCCAGUAAUGGUUUGAGCCGAGUGGUACUAAUAACCGUUAAUGCUU